UUCCUAGCUUUUGGNGGCUGCUAGUAGUC
rnacentral:piRNA from 1 species